rnacentral:pre_miRNA from 1 species
UAAAAGUUAAUGCUUUGUAUGGAAUUGUAACGUUUGCCUAAGUUUGCCGCUAGGAGCGCUGUUCCAACUGCAUUCAAAUUUGAGUUA